CUUGGUCCAUUUAGAGGAAGUAAAAGUCGUAACAAGGUCUCCGUUGGUGAACCAGCGGAGGGAUCAUUACCGAGUUUACAACUCCCAAACCCAAUGUGAACGUUACCAAACUGUUGCCUCGGCGGGAUCUCUGCCCCGGGUGCGUCGCAGCCCCGGACCAAGGCGCCCGCCGGAGGACCAACCUAAAACUCUUAUUGUAUACCCCCUCGCGGGUUUUUUUAUAAUCUGAGCCUUCUCGGCGCCUCUCGUAGGCGUUUCGAAAAUGAAUCAAAACUUUCAACAACGGAUCUCUUGGUUCUGGCAUCGAUGAAGAACGCAGCGAAAUGCGAUAAGUAAUGUGAAUUGCAGAAUUCAGUGAAUCAUCGAAUCUUUGAACGCACAUUGCGCCCGCCAGUAUUCUGGCGGGCAUGCCUGUCCGAGCGUCAUUUCAACCCUCGAACCCCUCCGGGGGGUCGGCGUUGGGGAUCGGCCCUCCCUUAGCGGGUGGCCGUCUCCGAAAUACAGUGGCGGUCUCGCCGCAGCCUCUCCUGCGCAGUAGUUUGCACACUCGCAUCGGGAGCGCGGCGCGUCCACAGCCGUUAAACACCCAACUUCUGAAAUGUUGACCUCGGAUCAGGUAGGAAUACCCGCUGAACUUAAGCAUAUCA
rnacentral:rRNA from 1 species